CCCAGAACGAGGACAAGUCUCCUCGUUUGGCCAAGUCAUAAAAAUGUUACCAGGCUGUUCCAGCGGCAAGCACAUCUAGCGACAGGAUUCUUUCACACGCUGGAAACACUAUGAUGCGACAGCGGCAGUCUUGAUGCUCUGUGGCACCCUGCUGCCUUCCACAGGGCUGCUUUGCUGCUUGGUCGUCCAUUAUUAAGCUCACCUCAUCUGUCACAGCGAAUGCUGAACAGACCUGACAAAAUGGAUGGCUAUAUAAAAUCAGGUAUGAGCAAAAUUAUGUGGACUCAAUGUAGGGGAUAGCACCCAUGAUGGAUAUGACACCGGAUGCCAGAUAUAUCUUGGGAAUGGAGAAAUUAACUAACUGGUGGCCUGCAUUCAUAUACUGAUAUACAGAAAUAGGAUGAGCAGAGGAAAAAUAGCCAAGUCCUGGUGAUUAGAAGAUAGGUUUUCUUUAGCCAAGGUUAUGCUACAAGACCCAUACAAGGUCCCCCAUUGCAAGGUGAUGCCAAGAACAGCUAACGAUGACUAAUAUGCCCUAUGCACAGAAAUGUAACAACACCAGCGAUCAAUGCGCCACAUUACUUCCAUUUUUCUUUCUCCCCCGACAUGUACUGUUGGAAUAAUGUAGAUUUUAAAUUCGACAAAGACAAAGGACAUGAAAACAUUUCAUUGUUUCAUCAGAGCAACUUUCCAUUACACGUUCAAACAGCUUU